GACCCUGAGAUUAGCUCAGCUGGUUAAAGCAUGGUGCUAAUAACACCAAUAUUGUGGGUUCAAUCCCUGGAUGGGCCA